AUACAUUAGAUGUAGUUUAGAAAUAUGUUGAUAUGAUCAACAUGUAAUUUUUGCUCUUUAUAUUUUAAUUUUUGAUUUAAUGCCAUAUAAUAAUCAUGUAAUAGGAUGUUAGGUCUAUGGAUUCUCUAAUUUUAUAAGAUAAAUUUUGAUUUAUUUUAGUCUUUCACUGCCUGAUCUUGAAAAAGUUUCAAGAUCUAACCCUGAAACCCUAGAUCUGGUUCCUUCAAUUAGUUAUAUAUCAGAAACUAAUUUCUUCUGAGCCUAGCCGGUUGGGAUUAAUUGCUGGCAUAGUUAGUCUUUCUAGGCCUAGCUAGUCGGGGC
rnacentral:lncRNA from 1 species